GACGCACGCUGGCGGCGUGCCUACUACAUGCAAGUAGGACGCAGUUGCGAACGGGUGAGUAACGCGUAGGUAACUGCCUAUGAGAAGGGGAUAAAUAAUUGAAACAAUAGCUAAUACCGCAUACUAGUAGAUGGACCUGCUUUGUAUUAGUUAGUAGGUAGGGUAAUGGUCUACCUAGGCGACGAUACAUAGCCGACUGUAUGGGGUGAUAGGUCACACGGUGACGUAUAAACGGCCCAGACUCCUACGGGAGGCAGCAGUAGGGAAUCUGUGGCAAUUGGGGGAACCCUGACCGAGCAACGCCGCGUGAGUGAAGAAGGUUUUCGGAUAGGAAAGCUCUGUUGGUAAGGAAGCGGGACUUAACCAGAAAGGGACGGCUAACUACGGGCCAGCAGACGCGGUAAUAC
rnacentral:rRNA from 1 species